rnacentral:rRNA from 1 species
AACGAACGCUGGCGGCGUGCUUAACACAUGCAAGUCGAACGCGAAAGGGACUUCGGUCCUGAGUAAAGUGGCGCACGGGUGAGUAACGCGUAGAUAACCUGUCUUCAUGUCUGGAAUAAUACGCCGAAAGGGGUACUAAUACCGGAUAUUCUUGCUUUUCAUAAGUUAUGCAAGCAAAGGUGGCCUCUGCAUAUGCUACUGCAUGAAGAGGGGUCUGCGUACCAUUAGCUAGUAGGUGGGGUAAUGGCCUACCUAGGCGACGAUGGUUAGCGGGUCUGAGAGGAUGAUCCGCCACACUGGCACUGGAACACGGGCCAGACUCCUACGGGAGGCAGCAGUGAGGAAUAUUGCGCAAUGGGGGAAACCCUGACGCAGCGACGCCGCGUGAGUGAGGAAGGCCUUCGGGUCGUAAAGCUCUGUCAAGAGGAAAGAAGUGUACAAUGGCUAAUACCUGUUGUAUUUGACGGUACCUCUAAAGGAAGCACCGGCUAACCCCGUGCCAGCAGCGGC